rnacentral:piRNA from 1 species
UGAUACUCGUGGCCCAGGAAGAGUUCUGGU